AUUGAACGCUGGCGGCAUGCCUUACACAUGCAAGUCGAACGGUAACAGGUCUUCGGAUGCUGACGAGUGGCGAACGGGUGAGUAAUACAUCGGAACGCGCCCGAGAGUGGGGGAUAACGAAGCGAAAGCUUUGCUAAUACCGCAUACGAUCUCAGGAUGAAAGCAGGGGACCGCAAGGCCUUGCGCCCACGGAGCGGCCGAUGGCAGAUUAGGUAGUUGGUGGGAUAAAAGCUUACCAAGCCGACGAUCUGUAGCUGGUCUGAGAGGACGACCAGCCACACUGGGACUGAGACACGGCCCAGACUCCUACGGGAGGCAGCAGUGGGGAAUUUUGGACAAUGGGCGCAAGCCUGAUCCUGCCAUGCCGCGUGCAGGAUGAAGGCCUUCGGGUUGUAAACUGCUUUUGUACGGAACGAAAAGACUCUGGUUAAUACCUGGGGUCCAUGACGGUACCGUAAGAAUAAGCACCGGCUAACUACGUGCCAGCCGCCGCAGUAA
rnacentral:rRNA from 1 species